CUGGGGAAUUCCUACGCUUUUGAUUUUCUCUGCAGCCAGUAUUUUAGAAGUGCUUGUUGUAAAAGGGGCAGAAGGAGAGUGAAAAGACAGGCUGUGGAAUGCCUCAGUCACAAACUGGCAACGGGAUGGGAAGAGGAGUCACUUAACCACAAUAUAAAGGGAUCCACACGGGCUUCAUUAUCUGUGCUUGUGACUACCACAGAAACCACCCUGGCAGUAAAUAGAAGAAGGGCUGUGACAAGGACGGGGACAUUUUCAAGAAGAAGCAGGGCAAGAGUCUGCAAGGAACAGGUCUGAAGAGAUUUCAGCUGAAUACAGACCAAGAGCUCACCAUAUCCACUUUUCUCAUCGCUCCCUAUUCACUGAAUCUUGACAGAAACACUGGUGAUGUCUGAAUGUGUUCAUGAUGUCCAGCAAUGACUGUUCUGUGGAAAAGCCAACUCCUGUCUUGUGGACUGUGUACCUGGCCUGACUGUGGACCGUUAACACAGACUAUGAGAGGUGACGCAGAAUCAAACAGCAGCCUAUGAGACACUUCUCUGAUCAUUUAACUUGAACUUGAUUCGAUGGUAAAAGGAGAUUAAUCAUUUCAUGUAGUGAGGACUUCCACCCAUUUAUUCCGCAAACACUUUUUGAUGCCCAUCUACAUUCUAAGCUGCUGUUCUGGGUCCUAGAUUUAUAACAACUGAGUCUUGCCCUUACAGAGGAAGAACAAGCAAACACAAAAUGCAAUCGGGAACUUCUGAUCGGUGAAAACUCGAAAGAACUUAUGGAGCCUACUUCCAGCCCUCCCCUGCAUGUUCCCGCUUCCAUGGUGUUCAGCCUCAUCUUAGACCUAAGUAAUGGACCAAGAACUGAAGCUUCACAGCCUGAAGACAGGAUAAAUAUCCCUCCAUCCAAUUGAGUACCUUGGUCAAAGCUAUGGAAAGCUGAUCAACACAGAGAGGUGUUUUCAAUUGGUUGUUCAGGGUGACCUGUGUCAGGGGCUCCCAUAUAGCAAGCAGCCUGGAAGGAUGCCGGAGGCUCACAGAUGCUGCUGCUAUGGAAGGAAGAGGACUGAGAUACAUUGGCCAGGAGAGGCUCUACAUGCAUAAGCCAAGGAAAGGUGUAACACAGUUGAGAUUAUGCUUGAGCACACGGGCACUGGGUGCCUCUGGGCCUCCCACAGAUCAGGCUGCAGGUAUCACUAGGAUGCAGGGAAUUAUGGCAAAGUCUCACCACCAUUGGAGUGCCAGCCUCUUUCUGAGAGGAGACACGCCUACUUCCCUUCCACCAAGGUGCUUAAUCCCCAGUUAGAGAUCAGCACCUUGCAGUGUCCUGUGUUUACUAAGAUGUUGUUGGGUUUUUUUUAAACUAUUUUAAAAGGAGCUGUGGGAGAAGAAAGAACAGCUGGGAUGUACCAAAGGACAGACAGAGCCCGUUGAUAUUCUGCUCUAACAUCUCCCUCAAUCUGGUAACCCUUGAACACCUUGGUUUCUCACCUGUCAAGUACAGGUGCUAACAGCUUCCUCUAGAUGAGAGGAGGUGCCAG